rnacentral:rRNA from 1 species
AGGUCUUGACAUCCCGAUGCUAUUUCUAGAGAUAGAAAGUUUCUUCGGAACAUCGGUGACAGGUGGUGCAUGGUUGUCGUCAGCUCGUGUCGUGAGAUGUUGGGUUAAGUCCCGCAACGAGCGCAACCCCUAUUGUUAGUUGCCAUCAUUUAGUUGGGCACUCUAGCGAGACUGCCGGUAAUAAACCGGAGGAAGGUGGGGAUGACGUCAAAUCAUCAUGCCCCUUAUGACCUGGGCUACACACGUGCUACAAUGGUUGGUACAACGAGUCGCAAGUCGGUGACGGCAAGCAAAUCUCUUAAAGCCAAUCUCAGUUCGGAUUGUAGGCUGCAACUCGCCUACAUGAAGUCGGAAUCGCUAGUAAUCGCGGAUCAGCACGCCGCGGUGAAUACGUUCCCGGGCCUU